GCCAGCAGACAUAUUACUCUGCAACUCGCGACUGGCAGCCCACUGAAGCUAAGCAGGUGUGAGUCUGGUAAGUACCUGGAUGGGAGACCUCCUGGGAAAAACUAAGGUUGCUACUGGGA
rnacentral:rRNA from 1 species